UACGUAGGGUCCGAGCGUUGUCCGGAAUUAUUGGGCGUAAAGAGCUCGUAGGCGGUCUGUUGCGUCGGUUGUGAAAACCCGGGGCUCAACUCCGGGCCUGCAAUCGAUACGGGCAGACUAGAGUUCGGUAGGGGAGACUGGAAUUCCUGGUGUAGCGGUGAAAUGCGCAGAUAUCAGGAGGAACACCGGUGGCGAAGGCGGGUCUCUGGGCCGAAACUGACGCUGAGGAGCGAAAGCGUGGGGAGCGAACAGG
rnacentral:rRNA from 1 species